UUUGCCUUUUUUGAUUACUUUUUCAGCAUGUCAGGCCCAUUGCAUAGUUGUUGUCACACUUGCAAUAUCCACUUCCACCAAAUGUUUCCUCACCCAGUUGCCUAUUUCAGGGCGGAAAUGAGUGAGGAGCGCAUUUUUAAGCUGUUGCUGAUAAGCACUCUCAGGUGCAUCAUUGAAUGGGAUGCCACUAUGCACCCUGAAUUCUUUUUCAAAUCUCAAGCGAAAAUCAUCAGUAUCUUCCCCAGGCUUCUGUUUUAUUCCUGCUAAAUGACCAUAAUUCGCUCGUCUUUGAAAUAUAGUUCGCACUCUUUGCACAAGAUCAUUCCAUUGUGCUGCAUACUCUCCUCCCAAUUGAUUUCCCUCAACGGGAUAGGGAAAAGGCCCUUGAUUAUUUCUACCUGUAUAAUUUCCUCCAACCUUUGCGCAGUCUUUUCCCAAGGAAGACAUUGCAGCUUCUCCUGCCUCAUGCCCAUUCAGUCUACAGGAAUGUAUGAUUCCAGCCAUGUCUUCUGCCCAUUUAUCUGGGUCUUCGGCAACAGGGGUAACCCCUUCAACUGCUUUUCUUGCCUCUUCCA